rnacentral:lncRNA from 1 species
GGGUGCCCAUGGCUGGAGAAAAUCAUAUAUGAGCAAAUCUGGUUUUAGGGUUCUGAGGAUGUGGGAGAAGUUAUCGCUGGACAUGUCGAAGGCUUUUUUGAGAGUGGGCAUGAGAUGGGGUGGGAGGCCAUUGGUGGUGUGGUAGUGAGGUGGCAACUCCUCGUGUGGAAGAUGAAGUUCCACAAACUCAAUGCAGUGAGAAUAUUUCUGAGGGAGUUUGGGCUUGAUGGAGCUGAGAUUUACCGGUGAGGAGCAAAUAAGGAUGUGAAAAUCUCUGCGAUCGGUGAGUUUCUUGGCUAGCUCUAGGAAGGGAGAAAUAUGGCCGUGACCUAACCAUGGAAGCAUAAGGAUGCUAAUACUUCUGUGCUGAUCAGAAUAAACCAUUUUUCCCCCCCUAAAUUUGACUCUUUUUUAGUUGUUGGUUGUAGAUGAUUGUAGGCCCGUAGUUACUUUAAAUUUUGGUGGAUAUAUAUAUAUAUACCUAUAUAGUGCAAGAUAUGUAGAAUUUGAAGAAACACUUGGAACCUUCAUAUGGAUGGUUCGUGUAAGUAGUAGGAAUUUGCGGUUUAAGUUUUAUGAAAAAGACAUAUAUGGCCAAUGAAUUAAGAAAAAAGAGGCUUAAACUUGGCUUCCUUCAAUUAGUUAGCUGGACAUUUAAUUUUCACAUAGUACUCUUUUUCACAAGUGGAAUUAAACUUCUAAUCGGAGGUGAUGAAUGGUCCAAAUCGUUAGGUAUCACGUUUCAAAUCAAAUACUCUUUCAUCUCUAGAUGAAAGUUAUUUAAUAAUUGUCAAAAAAAAAAUAAUAACAAUAAAAAGUUGCUUCUAAUCUCUAACCAGGUUUCAAGGUUUCAAAGCAUUGUACUCAUGGUUUCACGGUUCAAAGUAUCGUAAUUAUGGUUUCAGGAUUGGUAUAAUUAUGUUUCACAAUAUCGUAAUUAUGGUUUAAGUAUCGUAUCAUUAAGUAAUUUUAAACUCAAUCUUUGUCAUCGACUUAAUUAAGUAUUUGUUAUUGCAUGAUGUGGGUGCUUAGGCCAUCUCCAAUUGACCCAGCCAAGGGGCCGUAGGCCAAAAUAUAAAACCGUCUUCAACCGAUGGCUAGGCCAAAGGGCUUGUGGGCCCCACUAGGCUAUAUCUCAUCCACCAAUAGUGGUUUAAUGUUGGCCAAAAUGAACUAGUAGUGGGUUGGCCAAAAUGAGCCAGCCAGCCAGCCCGUUUCACCCAGCCCAACCUAUUCCAAUGAUUACCUGAUGUCAGGUUACAGUUGGAAUUUGAAUAUUUUUUAGGUAAAAAUUUAAAAAAAAAUUCUAAUUUUUUUCCUAUUAAUACCUAAGCCAUUUCUACACCAUUUCUCACAUCAUUUUCCACCAUUUCAUAUUAUCUUACACCAUUUCUCACAUCCUUUUCCACCAUUUCAUAUGUCCGAAAAACUUAAUUUAAUAUGGUAGUUUGACUCAAUUAACCAUAUUAAUUCAGUUAAAAUAAUAAAUUAUUGAGGGGCUAAAAAAUAGUCCCAUUCGGUUGAAGAUAGAUAUUUUUUGUCAAAGGGCUAUAUUUUGGUCGGCUAAAGAUGGUACAAAAUAUAAUCUCACAUUGUUCAUUAAAAAAAAUUCUUAUAAGACUAGGACGAAAGCAGAUAAAACCGCAUCAUGCAUAUGAGGAGGUGGCAACUCUCCCUCAGCGUUUCACCUUGCUAGAAUGUAAAGCAGAUAAAACCGCAUCAUGCAUGGGACCAUCUCUUUCUCUGUUACAUAAACAAAAGAUCGAUAUUGAUAGAGGUGGGCAGUGAGGUGGCACACAAGAUAAUACAAACCAAAUAUAAGCUGCUUGAAGUCUAGUAUGUGAAGCGGCACGUAGCGGAGGGGCCCAUGCAUGAUGCGGUUUUAUCUUUUGGCAAACUCUAGAACAUGACUUAUAUAUAAAAUAAAGAUAUGUCUUAAUUUUUAUAACUGAAGCAUCUUUUGGCACACUCUAGAACAUGACUUGUAUAUAAAAAAAAAUUAAAUGAGAGACUUAUUUUUCUUUUAUCUCCUCGCAAUAUAUGCAACUCCGUUGUAUCAAGUCUCAUUCUAUGAAAAAAAAUAUUUACAAAAAAAAUUUACACAAAUUUUAUUUUAUUAACAUAAAACGUUAUUUAAUGUAACAUAUUAUAAAUCUUUCUUGUUUUAUUGAUACGAAAUAUUAUAUAGCAAUAUAGCCGUUUUAGGUAAGUUGUAAAAGCACACCACACAGGUGCUUUUUCUGUUGGAAUAUAUGCACACAGAUGCUUUGGAUCUACUGCUGCUGUUGCGGCUGAGAAUGACUGGUCCUUCAAUUUGCGUCUCUCUUCUUCUUUCACAUGGCUUACUUUAGACCUAGAUUUUUCGUUGGUGUUCAGAUGUCGUAAUUGCAUACAUAAAAGUAUUGCUGACUCAUAUAGUCGAUCGUCUUCUGUGGCACACAAAUCAACAUACCUUGAAGCUUCUUUUUAAACAUGAUGUAAUUGCAUAUGUAAAAGUAUUGCUGACUCAUAAUAGUCGACCAUCUUUAAUGUCGCACGUAUCAAUAUACCUUUUCGUUCGUUUUGGUAAAUAUUUAAAAACUGAGAAUUAUUACAUGUACUAACAAAAUCUACUACUUCACUCUUCAUAAAAAUCAGUACUAGGGUUACGUUAUAAUUUUGUUAGUGUUUGGGCUAGAGAUUUGUCCCUUACAUAACUUCCCCUUGUCUUGUUUGUCAGGCAAAGUUUGUUGCUUGGUUUCUGCAAUAUACGUUUAUUAGUUUGAAGGGUGCCUUCGUGGGGCUUUUGUUAAGUAUUGAGGCUCACAAUCAAAACUAAUAUGAAUCUGAGCGUGCCACUGUUCUUUUUAUGUAACAGAUUGUUUACUUGGUUGUUCAGUUAUUGAUUUCUUGUGCCACAAGUCACUUUAACAUCUUGGAUUAUUAGGAUUGUUCAUAGAUGUGUUAAGUCUGUAUUAAGUUCUUUUCUUGCCUUUCGACCAAGGAGUUUUAUUUAUAAUAUCAUAUAUUCCUUUAUAAAGCAGUUCAAGGUCAUUUAAGUUAAUUUCUUAGUUAUUAGUUUAGGCUGACAUCACAAAAACAAGAAUAGUUAAUUUAACAGGGUUAAUCAUAACUAAAACUGAACAAAAUUAGUUAAAAAUGACAUAUGGUUUAAUGGAAGAUACAAAAACAAUAGAUCUAUUUUACAUAAGUACAAAUAAAAGAGAUUUAGGCAAGAUUACAACCUUGGCCGUAAAGGUUUGUCCUCUUGCAAACACCUCUCCUUGUAUUUUACAGUGAUUGAAAUCUUGGAAAAUGAAAUAUAAACGAGGUUUACUAAAGGGAUUCGAUACUCCAACAAGGGGAAUGGUAGCAGAGCUUCUAAAACUGGACAAAAGAAAGCUUUCUAUGGUGGACCUGCUACUUGAAAUGGACAAGGGUAGACAAAUUAAAGCUUUUUUUGGUUUCACUGUUGAGUGUACUGAGAGUUGCUUGAUUGAUUGGUUGAGAGAGAGUUUAUGCUUGUGCCCUUCAUUGCUUUUAUAGACUUUUCUAGCCUAAUUGUCCAAGCCUUCCCUUUUGGUGAUGGCUUCCAGAGCAUGGUGAGUCAUCAUCAACUUUUGCUAAUCACCUACCCAUGCCAUGGAAAAGUACUUAUUGCUGAGGAUGAGUUGCCCUCUGUAGCUUGUCACUUCUCACAUAGGCUUGCUGUCUAUUAGUUGCCAAAAAACGAUUUUAAAUUCAUCUUGGGCUACCAACUGUCAUAGCCCAAUCCUUUUCUGAUUUUCGUAUGCUUGGGUCUUUAAUGGUAUUGAGCUUAACAUUAAAUAUCCACCCAAACAAUGCCUCUUUUAAUCAUUAUUAUGUUUGCUAAAUUUUGGUGCCUCUUUUAAUCAUUAUUAUGUAUCUCUUCUUCUUUACAUGGCUUACUUUAGACCUAGAUUUUUCGUUGGUGUUUAGGUGUCGUAAUUGCAUACAUAAAAGUAUUGCUGACUCAUAUAGUCGAUCGUCUUUUGUGUCACACAAAUCAAUAUACCUGGAAGCUUCAUUUUAAACAAGAUGUAAUUCCAUACAUAAAAGAUGUAAUUGCAUAUGUAAAAGUAUUGUUGACUCAUAAUAGUCGACCAUCUGUUGUGUUGCACGUAUCAAUAUACCGUUCCAUUCUUUUUGGUAAAUAUUUAAAAAUUGAGAAUUAUUACAUGUACUAACAAAAUCUACUACUUCACUUUUCAUAAGAAUUAGUACUAGGGUUACGUUAUAAUUUUGUUAGCGUUCGGGCUAGAUUUGUCCCUUACAUAACUUCCUAUUGUCUUGCUUGUCGGGCAGAGUUCGUUGUUUGGUUUCUGCAAUAUACGCUUAUCAGUUUGAAGGGUGCCUUCAUGGGGCCUUUGUUAGGCCAACAACACAGAAACAAGAGUAGUUAAUUUAACAGGGUUAAUCAUAACUAAAACUUGAAUGAAAUUAGUUAAAAAUGACAUAUGGUUUAAUGGAAGAUACAUAAACAACAUAUUUAUUUUACAUAAGUACAAAUAAAGAAGAUUCAGGCAAGAUUACAACCUUGACCGGCAAGGUUCGUCCUCUUGCAGACACCUCUCCUUUUAUUUUACAGUAAUUGAAAUCUAGGAAAAUGAAAUAUAAACAAGGUUUACUAUAGGGAUUCGAUACUACAACAAAGGGAAUGGUAGCAGAGCUUCUAAAACUGGACAAAAGAAAGCUUUCUAUGGUGGACCUGCGACUUGAAAUGGACAAGGGGUGAACAAAUUAAAGCUUUUCUGGUUUCACUGUUGAGUGUACUGAGAGUUGCUUGAUUGAUUGGUUGAGAGAAAGAGUUUAUGCUUGUGCCCUUCAUUGUUUUUAUAGACUUUUCUACCCUAAGUCGAAGCCUUCCUUUUUGGUGAUGGCUUCCAGAGCAUGGUGAGUCAUCAUCAACUUUUGCUAAUCACCUACCCAUGCCAUGGAAAAGUACUUUUUGCUGAGGGUGAGCUGCCCUAUGUCGCUUGUCACUUCUCCCAUUGGUUUGCUGCGUAUCAGUUACCAAAAAAUGAUUUUAAAUUCAUCUUGGGCUGCCAACUAUCAGAGCCCAAUUUUUUCUGAUUUUCACAUGCCUGGGUCUUUAAUUGUAUUGAGCUCAACAUUAAAUAUCUACCCAAGCAGUGCCUCUUUUAAUCAUUAUUAAGUUUGCUAAUCAAGACAUUGAUAAUGAUUAAAAUUGAAUGCUUGUCAAAACUAGGUAUUAGUGCCAUUUAACUUAGCCAUUUUAAAUAAACCAUUGCACUAACCCACAAUUCCCUACGUUAACUACCUGCCCGUUAUAGAACUUCCACAUUACUCUUUUCGGCCAUUACCUUUAACAAGCUUUAUUCUUAGAGCCACCAAAUUCUCUCGAAUUUUAAUCUUUCCCUGAUUUAGCUUUAGCUAAUUUCUUCACCUUUCGAAUUUAGUAAUGGCUCCUAAAUCACGCUCUGCAUGUGAGUCUGGAGAGGACAUUGUCACUCUUUGCCGCUGUCUCAACGACCUUCACCGCCCUCGAGUUGGCUUUAACCUUCCUAUUUUCUUUCUUGAAGAUAAGGCCUAUUCACUGGGACUUGCCUGGACCCCCAAAGUUCCUGUUGCUGUGGAGAGCAACAUGCUUGCCAAGGAGUGUUUCACCCCUUCAUCAGGUUUAAUCCUACAACUGGAGAGAUGCUUCAUUUAGUGGAAGAUGAUAGCACCUCCGUAAGUUUUCUUAUUUCAUACAAUUUUAAUUCUUAAGAUCUUUUUGAUUUGGACAUGAUGUUUUAAACUUUAUCUCUGCCAGUCUUCACUUCCUCUAGAAGCUGCCAAGUUCCCAACACUGACUAUUAGGGAACCUAUACUCCUUGAGAUACCAGUUGUUUCAGAGGUGACCAGUUCUAGGGCCUCUCAUGCUUCAUCCCCAGCAAGCCAUCCAUCUUCUCCUAAAGCAGCUGUAAUAAAAAUUCUCCCAACCAUGGCUCAAGGUGUAGCUAAGGUGUGAUCAUUUCAUCAACUUGUCUAUCUUUCCCUUUCUUUAAUUUGAUUUGAGAUUAGCCCUGUUAACUUGUCUUUUUUCAUCUAAUAGACUUCUAGUAAAGGUUCGGGCAAAAUCUUCCCAGCCUGCUGUGAGUGAAGUGGUCCAUCCUCGACCUCUUUAGUCCAUCCUCUAAUAGACUUCAAGAUGCUAUGAAAACUCUAACUGAGUUGUAUCAGUUCCAGGAGAUGACCAAGGUGUAGUAUGAGUCAUUUCUCUCAUUCUUUGAGAGCAUAAGGGCUUUGAAAGACCAACACCUUAGGGCUGAGAGGCAAGCCAACUGGGUGAGGUGCUACAAAGAUAUGCAUGCCCGGACUUCCAUUAAUCUUCAGCAACUUGUGGAAGAGGGGUCGACCAUAGAGGAUAGGAUCAUGGUGGUGGCUGCAGAGAUUCAGAAGUUGGAGGAAUGACUUUCUGCUUUGAAAGCUGAAGAAAGUGAAUCAAGAGUUGGAAGAAUCAAAGGUCCAAUUAGCCAAAAGCAACAUAGCUCUAGAGGAGCGAAGUCGCAUUUCCACCAUAAUGCAGACUUAUAUUUCUAGGAUAGUUGCUUUGGGAUGUAAACUUGCAAUCUUUAGGGCUUAUGUAUUCUCUUAAUUAUUGAAUUAAAAAAAAAUUCCUUUGGUGUACCACCUUUAUUUACUUAUUUUACAAUUUCUAAAAGUAACUCCUUCAAUUAUACAAGGAAUUUCAGAUAACACCUCUAAGUGUUAAACUUCAUCAAUAUAAUAGUCUCUAGCAUCCUAAAGAGUGAGAUGAUACUUCUUUAUGAAUUUAGCAUUGAUUGGGUGUUUCUGUGAAUCUCUUUCUAGAUUUACCAAGUAAUAUGCCCCAUUAUCUAAUACUUUGAUAAUUAUAAAGGGGCAUUCCCAAGUAGGACUCCACUUUCCAAAUCCUCUGACUUGUGCUCCCAAUGGUAGAAUUGUUUUCCACACCAACUUUCAUUCUUCAAAAGACUUCAAUUUUUCCCUCUUAUUAUAAGCUCGGGCAACAACUCUUUUUCCUUCUUGGAUCUUGUUUACAGCCUCAAUGUGGGCAACAUCUAAAUUUUCUAUCCCCUGACAUAUAGCCUGCACAAACUCAUCAUUGUGUAGACCGAAUUGGUUCUAUGUUCUCAAAUAACUUACAAUUGGUUCUGUAUUCUCAAAGAACAUACAUUAAUUUCCAUAGGAAACACUGUAUCUUGCCCGAAUGUUAAUGCAUAAGGAGUAGUUUUAGUUCUUGCCCUUUUUGAAGUUUUGUAAGCCUAAAGAGUAUCUCCCAACUUCUCAUGCCAUUUUUAUAGGUUGUUUGACACCAUUCUCUUGAUGAUAUUUAUUAAAAUUUUAUUGUUGGCCUCUGCUUGACCAUUAGAUUUGGGGUAAUAGGGGCAGGACUGGAUCAUCUUUACUUGAACUUUUCUGCAAACUCCUUUACAUCUUUUUAAAACAAAUGAUGGUCUUCUAUCUAUGACAAUGACUUUGGGCACCCUAUACCUAUGUAGGAUCUUGGUCUCGCUAAUAGUUGAAUUAAUAGUCUUCACAGCUAAAGCUUCCACCCAUUUGGUAAAGUAAUCAGUUGCCACAAUUAUAAAGGUGUACCCGAUGAAGUUCAUAGCCCACCCUCUAAAAUGAAAUGGCUUUACAAUUGGAUUUAGAGGCACCGAUGGAGUAUGUUGCAAAGGGCCAUGCCUCUGGCAUUCUUUACAUCCUUUAGCAUAAGCUUUACAGUCUUUCUCUAUAUUCGGCUAGAAGUAACCAUAUCUUUUUAGCAACCAUUUCAUUUUUGUUCAUGCUUGGUGAGCUCCACAAAUUCCCUCUUGUACCUCAGCCAUUACUUUCAUUAAUUCUUCCAAACCUAAGCAUUUCAACAUAAGCCCAUAUGAGGUUUUCUUCAAAGUUUCUUUCCCACAGAACAAACUUAGUUGCCUGUUGUCUGGUUUUUUUGCAAGCAGGGAAAGAAUGAUCUUUUAAGUACUGAAGGAUGAGAGACCUCCAAUGUUCUAUCUCGGGCUCUUUUGUCAUUACGUCCAAAUUGAAUCCCCUCCAAAGAUCGAGGAAGGCUCAUUGUUUGUAUUUUCAUUUUUAUCUUAGGUGUCAUUCCCGGGUCAUGUGCUCAAGAAGCUAGUUGUGCCAUUUCAUUGGUAGCCAAAUUCAAUUCCCUAGGAAUGUGAUUAAUUAUGACUUCACUUCACCAAUAUGCCAACAAUUGAGUGAUAGCCAUAUAAUAUCAUGCCACUGUGAUAUGUCUGCACUUGUAUUUUCAAUUCAAUUGAUCAAUCACUAGCUUUGAGUCUUCAUAGACCUUUCGUUAUUCUGCCUUUAAUUCUAUCAUAAUUUCUAAGCCAAUGAUUAAUACUUCAUAUUCUGCUAUGCUGUUGGUGAUAUUGUCAUAAUCCAAGAAAAUUAAUAAAAAAGGUGACCACCUUGUGGACUGAUAAUGACUAUUCUUGCACCUGCAGCUCGCUUUGUGCAUGAUCCAUCAAAAUAUAGCUUCCAUUGAGUGAUACAUAUACUAGAUAUCCUUUUUAUCUCUUACUGGAUCUAAGUUUCUUUGCCCGAAUUGUCUUCUCUUGGGGGAAACCAUAUACUUGCAGCUUCCAAAGUACCAGGAAUAUUGAUCAACUCUUCUUCAGGUUCUUGGUGUUCUGUCAAAAAGGUCUACAAUCGUUUGCCCCUUCACAGCCCUUUGAGGCACAUAUUAGAAACUAAACUGAUAUUGGACAACAUGUAUUUGAUCAUAUUAGUCUUAAGAAUUAUGUGAGUAUGGCAAGGCAUCAUGUAAUAUCUCAAUUGAUUGGCAGUGAAAUACAAGGUUAAACAUAGCUUCUCAAUGGGGGUGUAUCUUGUUUCUAUCUUAGUAAGGAUUCUACUGAGAUAGUACAUUGCUUGUUCUUUCCCUCCUUCAUUGUUUUGAGCCAAUAAACUCCCUAUGGACUUCUUAGAUGCUGAGUGUAGAGCUUUAAAGGUUUCCCCCUCUGGGGAGGCAUGAGUACCGAAGGAGAUGCCAUGUAGGCUUUUACCUUAUCAAAGGCUUUUUGAUGUUGAGGUCCCCACUAGAACAUGUCUUGAUUUUUUAACCUUAGCAAAGGAGAUAGGGGUUGGAUCUUGCCCACCAGGUUAGUAAUGAAUCUCCUCAAGAAAUUAAUCUUUCCCAGCAAUCUUUGCAGUUAUACUUUGUUGGUAGGUGCAUGUGACUCUUUUAUGGCUUUAGCUUUAUUCUUGUCCACUUCCAAACCUAUUUGGUGGACUAAGAACCCCAAAAAGUUGUCCGAUCUGACUCCGAAGGAACAUUUUCUAGGCUUCAUUUUCAAUUUGUGGGUUUUCAUCCUCAAUAAAGCUUGUCUGAUAUCUUUUAAGCGUUGCUCCUCAAUUUUAGACUUCAUCACAAUGUCAUCAAUGUAUACCUCCAUGCUAUGCCGAGGUCAUGAAAGAUAGCAUUCAUUGUCCUUUGAUAUGUAGCACCAACAUUUUUCAACCCGAAAGGCACAACAACAUAUUCAUAAGCCCCUACAUGUCCAGGGCACCUGAAUGCCAUUUUAUGCAUGUCCACUUUAGCCAUUUUUAUCUGGUUAUAUCUAGCAUUUCCAUCCAUGAAAGACAACACUUUGUGUUUUGCUACUGCAUCAAUUGAUAGGUCAGCCAUAUGCAUAGGGUAUUCGUCUUUAGGAGUUGCUUCAUUAAUAAUUCUAUAAUCCAUGCAACAUCGAAUGACAUUAGUUAAUACUUUCAAUACAGGUACAAUUUUUACCAACCAUUCUACAUAUUUUGGAGGUCUAAUAAAGUCUGGUUUCACAAGUUUUUCAAUCUCUUAUUUAACCUUUUCUUCUAUCUUUUUGACAUCCUUCUUGGGGCUUGUUUCACUACCUUGUACCCCUAUUUUAUAGGCAUUCUGUGUACUACCAACUCAGAAUCCAGUCUUGGCAUUUCUGUAUAAUGCCAUGCAAAACAAUUUUGAACUCAUGCAGAAUAUCAACUAUUUUGGCUCGAUUUGCAGGUUCUAACAGGCUACUAAGUUGUAUUGGCCUUGGAUCCUCCUCAGUUCCUAGAUUAAUGGUUUCCAAGAGGUCUUGAACUUCAAGUGCCAACUUAUCGGGCUUUGUAGACAAAAACUCCGUUGACUUUGGGACUUCGGGCAGGUCAUAUAUACAUUUUUCCAUGUGUACAGAAGCUCAUAUACUCUCUGAAAAAAACUUUCAUUCUUGACUAUCUUUUGUGUCAGAAUUUCAUUCUUUUCACUUUGCCAUUUCUUUAACUGAGCAUUGUUUGAUUUCCCUUCUUUCCCUUCCAUACUCUAGCAGUCAUUUGAUUAAAGACAUGACUGCUACUACUUGGUCCUUUUUCUUUUGGUCUAUCAUCCUUAGUAGUGGUGGGCUGGGAUAAUGUGAGGUCUAUCUCAUUCUUCCUUAGUGAGCAACAAUCCUUGUUCCAAGAGCUUAUAGGCCGUGACCUUGGUAAGGCGGCCGUUUUGAUAAGGUCUUAAACAUUGUAAAAUUCCAACAUUGGGGUUGUAAAAGUUAGCUUCAGCAAUAUUGGCUAUAGGGAGAAAUGGCCAUGAUUAAGCUUUCAUUGUUUCCCAUGAUCCUUGCUUGACAGUAGUUAGUUCAUGGUAGACAACAACUUAUUGAUGCAAGGUAGAUGAUAUAGACAAGCUUUGUUGUAUCCAAUAUCUUCACAAUAAAGCACCAUAAGUGGAAUUACUAUCCACUACAAAGCAUGCUAUCAUGAUCUUGCUAGACCCCAAAUCUACUUCCGAAGGAAAUAUACCAUGUUUCUUAGUAAUAGCCCCAGAAAUACUAGACACUAUGAGGUCUGUUAAAAUAAGGUCAUCUUCACCCCUAGCAAGCUUAUUCAUCUGCUUAAGUGGUAGCACUAUAACUGUUAUUCCUCAAUCUAUUAGCAUUAUUUUAAAAUGAGUCCCCUCUGUAUGAGCUGUCAGAUAGAUAGGUUUCAAAUGGUUUGCUAAAGCCAUACUUGGCUUUCUAAACACCAUUGCAUCAGUGUGAACCCUCUCAGGCAUUUUUUUCCAUGGGAUUGGGCAAAACUAACACUCUUGGCUUUUCUCUGCUUGUCUCUUCAAGGUUCAUAAGGGCCACCAUUGGUUUUUGUGACAAAUAAUCUUCUUGCAUCAUAAUUGGUUGAUAUGGCUCUGUACAAAACAUGAAGGACAACACAUACGUCAUGUUAACAUGAAAGUUGCUAGGUCCAAGUGCACAUUCCUUCUUAUCCUUAAUCUGGCAAAGAAACUAAUCCAUCCAAGCUUGGGCUUCCUCAUUUAACAUUAACUCUUGAUCCAUCUAAGCUUGGGCUUCCUCAUUUAACAUUAACUCUUGUGCUUCCUCUUCUUCCAUGUAUUGAAAUCAAUUAGCUAUUUUGGAGUCCCAAAAGGAAUACCCUCAUUUGGUGGUGGAGGUACCAUUCUUUCAAGAUAUAUGGUUCCAAAACGAAUAGGCAUCGGGUUCCAACUUAGUAUAGGUACCAUAACCAUACUUUCUUGCAUUCUCCUCAACACCUUGUAUUUCCCAGGGUGAGGUGUCUAAGGAACAUGUUCUCCUCAUCCCUUAGUUGUGUUAUUAGCCUUCUUAAUCUUCUUUCUACUUCUCUAGCUUGGUUGCCUCUCACUUCCCUAGAUAAACUUUUUGAUUUUGACAUUCCCAGGGCCUUCUAAAAAAGUAGGGAUUUGUAAUGAAUUCAUAUGUGUUUUAUGUUGUCUCUGCACCAUUCUUAUCAUGGAUGCCCCUAUCUUUCACAUGCCUUCCAUCUUUACCUACUACAUACCAUUUUCGGCCUUGUCAGGCUAAAUUUACCAUUGUGACUGGUAGCAUUGAGGUCCGUUAUGUCCUUGAUCUUGCGUUGCUGUGACUGGUUGAGCAUGGUACUUUAACGUCUCUCUAAUGUGGCAAUCUUCCAUCCUUAUCUUCUACCUCUUCAGAAGAUUCAACACCUCGGACAAAUUCUUAGGUUCUAAAUCUCUUCCCAGCCUGUGAAACACAUUCUUUGAAGUUUAUUUCUUGAACUCAGAAGCUUAGAGGUUAGCCCUGCAUGCUUCUUGUUCUUUUUCUCUCUUUUCUUUUAGCUAAUUCUUGGUUAAUAAUGGCACCUGGUGCUGGCACCUCUAACUUACAUUCACAUUGGCACUUUUUACACAACACUACUCCCUUGAUCACAGUUGUAUGAGGCCUAUCGGGCAACCUCCUACUACCUUUAGCGGGUCUAUCUAUAUCUCUCAUUUCUUCUCCUAUAUUCAGGGUAGCUUUCCCUUUCCCGCUCUCUACCUAAUUAAGGUUCAUCAUAUUAAUAGGGGCUUAUGGGAAAUGAUCUAUGUCAAUCAUCAUGUUGGCCUGAGGUUUUUCUAGCAACAACUUCCCCUUGACUAUCAAGUCUUGGAUCCAGUCUUUGAACUGCACACAAUUGAUGAUAGAGUGAUUGAAAGUGCAGUGAAUCUUACAAUACUUUUUCCCCCUCAAUGUUUAGGCUUAGGUAUUUUCUUGGUAUUGUCAGGCAAGAUUACUUGAGCCCUCACCAACUCUUCAUAUAUGUCAGCAGCCUUGGUUAAGUCGAAAGAAUAUGAUUGAUACUUUGGUGGCUUGAUAGGAACAAAUCCCCUAUCAUUCAUCACAAUCUUUUGACCUUUAAUUGGUUGAACUAAACCCUUCACUAUCAAGGGCUUAAAAAUAGUUGUCAUCUCUGCAACACACAACUUUAUUCCUUCUCCUAAGCCAUCAUUACUUUCCUCUUUUUCCAAACCUUCAAACUCCAACUGAUGUAUUUACGCUUUAUUUUUUGUAAAACAUAGGGGUUUUAGAUGAAUACUUCACUUGUUGUUCUUCUAUCAACAACUUCUCAUACUUAGGAGCUGCAAUCACCGAUUCUUAGAGUUCAUUAAACUGUACAUUGUAAAACUUCUUCCUCAGAGGCAACCUUAAAGCCUUAUGUGCAAUGGCUAUAAGUUAAUGAUUGAUAGGAAACUGGCACCUCAUCUUGGUCUUCCUGAAUCUCAUUAUGAAGUCCUUUAUAGACUCAUGUUCAUACUACUUUACCUCUACCAAGUCAUUCAUGGUCAUCUCUGGAUCUACUAUAUAGAACUGUUUGUGAAAAGCCAUCUCCAUCUGCCGUAAAUUAGCAAUGGAAUUAAGGGGCAAUAAAGAAUACCACUGGGAAACCAGCCCCACCAGAGAGUUUCUAAACAACCUUAACUUGUAGUUUAGAUUGCCUUCAAAAGCCACACAAUAGUUUGAAAACUUGAAAAUGUGAUCUUUGGAAGACACAUUGCAAUCCUCCCCACUAAAAGUUGGAAAAGCAAGCAUUUUAAAAUUAAGAGGGAAAGGAUUAUGCUCAUCCAUAUAAGCAUGGUAAGGCUUAUAAUACGUGAUUAUGAACAUCAGACGGGCUUGAGGUUAAGCAUUUUGUAUCACCAUUCUUCUUAACUCUGUUAGUUCAUUCCUAAGUUGCUGAUUGACCACAUUAUUAUUUGGGGAAGACGAAUUCCCCCACUUUAGGCCAUGAUUUAUGCCCGAGAAAGCUUCUCUCAUUGCAUUAGGCUGCCUUCAAUUAGCUUAUCCUCCCAUUUUAUUAACUAAUGGUAGUGGUCAAUAAGGAGGAGGAUUUCCUCUAUCAACGAGCAAGCUUCUGGUACUGGGGCAAGAGGUCUACAAGCCUAACUUUUAUGGCUCAUCUCUAAGUUCUCCUUGGUGGCUAGUUUCUGCCAGCUCAUUCUUCUUUCCUUUAUCCAUUUUCUUCCCCAGCAAGGGAAACUAAGGGAGAGUUGGUUCCUUCUCUAGAUCUAACACUGUACCUCCAUUGUUGGCAGCUUCCUCCUCUAGUGGGGAGUAUUCUAACUCCAAUUUUCUCUACAAUGUCCUUGUUAAAGAACAUAGCCUGCUAACCUCACAUCUAGUUUUUAGGGAGAUAUUUUCAUUAGUCACCUUUCAUUCAGACUUUUCAAAAGAAGUCGGGGUUUCUAUGAUCCUAGGACUGAGUAGGGAUGGAAAAUCUACGGGCUAAUCCGUCAGGCAAAAAGGUUGCCCGAAUUCAUCCUUCCACCAGAAUGUUUGAUCAUUCCUUCAUUUUGGCAUACAAUACUACAAGCUAGGAUCCCACCGGGCAUGCCAAAAUUAUGUUUAGGCUGAAUCUUUCCCUUACAUAGCUCUUCCUUGUCUUGCCUAUCGGCCAGAGUUUGUUGCUUUAUAUAUUUAUUAGUUUGAAGGGUGCCUUCAUGAGGCCUUUGUUAGGCCUUAAGACUCACAAUAAAACAUAACAUGAAUUUGAGCGUGCCAUUGUUCUUUUUGUUAAUAGAUUGUUUACUUGGUUGUUCAGUUAAUUGAUUUCUUGCGCCACAAGUCACUUUAACUUCUUGGAUUAUUAGGAUUGUUCACAGAUGGGUUAAGUCUGUAUUAAUUUCUUUUCUUACCUUUUGACCAAAGAGGUUUAUUUAUAAUAUCAUAUAUUCCUUUAUAAAGUAGUUCAAGGUCAUUUAAGUUAAUUUCUUAGUUAUUAGUUUAGGCCGACAACACAUAAAUAAGAGUAGUUAAUUUAACAUGGUUAAUCAUAACUAAAAUUUGAACUAAAUUAGUUAAAAAUGACAUAUCGUAUAAUGGAAGAUACAAAAACAACAGGUCUAUUUUACAUAAGUACAAAUAAAGGAAAUUCAGGCAAGAUUACAACCUUGGCGGGCAAGGUUCGUCCUCUUACAGACACCUCUCCUAGUAUUUUACAGUGAUUGAAAUCUUGGAAAAUGAAAUAUAAACGAGGUUUACUAAAGGGAUUUGAUACUACAACAAAGGGAAUGGUAGCAGAGCUAUUAAAACUAGACAAAAGAAAGCUUUCUAUGUUGGACCUACAACUUGAAAUAGACAAGGGGUGAACAAAUUAAAGCUUUUUCUGGUUUCGCUGUUGAGUGUACUGAGAGUUGUUUGAUGGAUUGGUUGAGAGAGAGUUUAUGCUUGUGCCGUUAAUUGCUUUUAUAGACUUUUCUAGCCCAAUUGUCCAAGCCUUCCCUUUUGGUGAUGGUUUCCGGAGCACGGUGAGUCAUCAUCAGCUUUUGCUAAUUACCAUAGUUGCUAAAUACGGGUACGAUUUGAGUUCGCAGUUCAGUUCGGAUACGGGAUUCAAUAGUAACAUAAAGUAUCAUUCACCAGAGAGUAGGCAAGGAUAGUUUGUUUUAAAUUCGUUAAAGAAUGUAAAUGAGUUUGUACAUAAAAAUAUUGAUAAUGAUACAUUUAUAAUUAUAUUUUAUAAUAUUACUUAUUAUGAGCAAUCAUUUUUAUUUUGUAGCAUUGAUGAUUUGUAAGCAAUGAUUUGUAACUUGGUUGGAUGCAUGACAAAGAACAUGGUGGGAUACAAGAAUCCCAAUAAAAACAAACAUGGUUGGUACAUCCCAAUAAAAAUAAAAACAUGGUUUGUACAUGCAUCGAAACAAAAACAAAGAAUAUGAUUGGAUAAAUGCAUCAAAAAUAAUAUGGUACAUGUAUCGAAUGGUUAAGGUCCUUAGGCAUAAGUAUUACCAAAUACAUUUAACCUAAUAACAAAUAUGAAUAUAAAUUUAUGCACAAUUGUUGUUUAGAAAGCAUCAAAUUACAAAAAAAAAAAAAAAAAAAAAAAAAAAAAAUCCACACCAAAUCUUGAAAAGAAAAAAAAAAGGUUUUCGGCAAGAGAAGUAUAGAGGAACCAGAAAUAUUCCAAAAUGAUAUCAACUCAUUCUCGUCCGAUGAGAAUGAAGAAGAUGUAGAGAUUCAAGAAUCAAGGGAAAACUCGAGUCAACCUCAAUCAUCCAGGCGGACUCCACAACAAGCUUCACUGUCCGAAAAUCGUAAAACAAGGGUGAAACCUUUGUUGGUCAGUGAAGUUACUUUUGAGACAUUGGGUAAGAUAAAACAAUGGAGAUGCAAAUACUGCAAGAAUGCAUACAAAUCCUCCACUAUUAGCUAUCACCUCAUAGGUACUAUUAUAUUACUAAAAUCACUAUUUAUUUAUUUGUUAUUUAUUUUUGUUGAUUUUUAAUUUUGAUUUUUUUUUUACUUUAGGUCCUCGAGUCGAAAAAGGUGCAGAUAUUGCUUGUUGUGGUGUAGUUCAGAAAAACUUUGAGUUACUUCUAAAUAUGAGAAACAAAGCACGAGAAGAGGAAAAGAUCAAAGGUCAAAGGUAAAACAACAAACCCGAUUGAAGAAGCGAUGCAAACUAUGGCUAGAGAAGCAGUUGAUAUGAAGGUUAUUAGAGCGUUUUGCGCUAAUCGCAUACCAUUCAAUGUCUUGAGGAAUCCACAAUUCCAUGAGACGGUCACUACCAUAAACAAUGGACCUAAAGGGUACAAGGCUCCUGGGUAUGAAAGAGGUAGAACCAUUCUACUCGAUGCAUGCAAAACUGGUAUUGAAAAUGAGUUAAAACCUGUUAGAGAGACAUGGCUCACACACGGGGUAUCCAUCGUGUCAGAUGUAUGGUUAAACAUGAAGCACAAUCCACCCAUUAAUGUUGUUGCAGUAAAUAGUCAAGGAUGCAUGUUCUUGUAUGCGGAUGAUUUUUCAGGAGUAACAAAAAGUGGUAAAGAGAUUGCUGAUUAUUUGCUUAAAGCAAUUGAACAAGUGGGGGGAAUCAAUGUCAUUCAAGUUGUAACCGAUAAUGCAAAAAAUUGUGUUGCUGCUAGACAAGAAAUUCGAAAGGUGCACAAACAUAUCUUUUGGUCUCCAUGUGUUGUUCAUACAUUGAAUCUCAUUUUUAAAGAUCUAGCAGAAAAUUUUGAUUGGCUUAGGAGCAUGCAACCUAUCUUGUCCAGCAACAAAUCAAAAUUUUCUUUAAAAAUAAGAUUCAAUGUAUGAACAACACAUGGAGACCAAAAGAUAUGUUUGUGUACCUUUUGAAUUUCUUGUCCCACAGCAACACAAUUCUUUGCAUUAUCUGUUACAACUUGAAUGACAUUGAUUCCCCCCACUUGUUCAAUUGCUUUAAGCAAAUAAUCAGCAAUCUCUUUACCACUUUUUGUUACUCUUGAAAAAUCAUCCGCAUACAAGAACAUGCAUCCUCGACUGUUUAUUGCAACAACAUUAAUGAGUGAAUUGUGCUUCAUGUUUGACCAUACAUUUGACACGAUGGAUACCCCGUGUGUGAAUUAUGUCUCUCUAAGAGGUUUUAACUCAUUUUCAAUACCAGUUUUGCAUGCAUCGAGUAGAGUGGUUCUACCUCUUUCAUACCCAGGAGCCUUGUACUCUUUAGGUCUAUUGUUUAUGGCAGUAACCAUCUAAUGGAAUUGUGGAUUCCUCAAGACAUUGAACGGUAUGCCAUUAGCACAAAACCCUCAAAUAACCUUCAUAUCAACUGAUUUUCUAGCCAUAGUUUGCAUCACUUCUUCUAUUGGGUUUGUUGUUUUACCUUUGCCACCACCUUUGAUCUUUUCCUCCUCUCGUUCUUUGUUUCUCAAAUUUUGAAGUAACUCAAAGUUUUUUUUGAACUACACCACAACGGGCAAUAUCUGCACUUCUUCCGACUGGAGGACCUAAAGUAAAAAAAUAAAAAUAAAAAUAAAAGAAAAAAAUCAACAAAAAUAAAUAAUUAGUAAUUUUAGUAAUAUAAUAGUGCCUAUGAGGUGAUAGCUAAUUUGUGUAGUGGAUGAUUUGCAUGCAUUCUUGCAGUAUUUGCAUCUCCAUUGUUUUGUCUUACCCAACGUCUCAAAAGUAACUUCACUGACCAACAAGGGUUUCACCCUUAUUUUACGAUUUUCGAAUAGUGAAGUUUGUUGCGGAGUCUGCCUGGAUGAUUGAGGUUGACUCGGCAUUUCCCUUGAUUCUUGAAUCUCUACAUCUUCUUCAUUCCUGUCGGACGAGAAUGAGUUGAUAUCAUUUUGGGAUAUUUCUGGUUCCUCUAUUCUUCCCUUUCCAAAAUCUUUUUUUUUUCCUUCAGGAUUUGGUGUGGAUUUUUUUGCAAUUUGAUGUUUUCUAAAUAACAAUUGUGCAUAAAUAUAUACUCAUAUUUGUUUAGUAGGUUAAAUGUAUUUGGUAAUACUUAUGCCUAAGGACCUUAACCAUUCGAUACAUGUACCAUUAUUUUUUAUGUAUUUAUCCAAUCAUAUUCUUUGUUUUUGUUUCGAUGGAUGUACAAACCAUGUUUUUAUUAUUUAUUAUUUUGAGGUAUUUACCAACCAUGUUUGUUUUUAUUGGGAUUCUUGUAUCCCACCAUGUUCGUUGCCAUGCAUCCAACCAUGUUACAAAUAAUUGCUUACAAAUCAUGAAUGCUACAAAAUAAAAAUGAUUGCUCAGUAAUAUUAUAAAGUAUAAUUAUAAAUGUAUUAUUAUCAAUAUUUUUAUAUACAAACUAAUUUACAUUCUUUAACGAAUUUAAAAUGAAUCAAACUGAAAACCGUAUUGUCUAUGCUACUCUCUGACGAAUGAUAUUUUAUGUUACUACCGAAUCCUGUAUCCGAACCGAACUGCGAACUCGAAUCAUACCCGUAUCUGGCAACUAUGGUCUAUUGAAUGGUAGGUCUAUGGUUUCUGUAUUAGUUACUACAUAAAUACUAAAUGAGAGUAUUAACAUUGUAAAUAUAAAUAGUUACAAUACUAUCAAGGCGCAUUCAGCAAAGUUCAUCCAAUAGUCCAACAGAAAAGGCAGCAUUACCCCUGUCAAGAACAAUGCAGUCAUUGUGAUAAAUGCCAUAACGACUCAACCACCACCAGUUCCAUGGCCGCCAAAGAGCAACAGCUUCAAAAGGGCAUCAAGAAAAUAGUGUGAAAUUGAACGAUAAAGAAAAACAAACAAAUAAUAUGAUAAUAAUUUCCAUUGUCAUCAAUAUAAAUAUGAUUUUUGUAAUCAAGAACCCUACAAUACAGGACUGGAGUACUUAUUUUUUCAAGUUAUGCAACACAGUUGUAAAAAUAGCCAAGAAAUGAAAUAUGCUACUUAAGGAAAAGUUCGAUAUUACUUUUUCUAGUAGGGAUAUCUAUCGCCGUGGAAAAAAAAAAAGCUUAUAUGAUCACACAUGCCAAGUUGAGAUCACAUGUAUGUGACUUAACAAUCAAGCUUUGAACGAUCCUUAUGCUGUUACCAAGGGUAUCUGUUCGUCGCAGGAAUCUCCUGGCGGUCGAGCACACAGCUCCCCUGGGAGAAUGGCGUCGGUUGAGGGUAUAUGUCGUACUCCUGCUUUCUUCUCGGGCUUGCUCGGGCAAGCCUUCGUCGGGCAGAUCUUGGUCGGGCAAGACACACUUCGGGCAAGGCUCGUCGGGCAGUUCUGAAAGAGAAGGACAAAGUUAAUUUGAAAGGGUGCCUUUGUGGGGCCUUAGGUGUAGGCCUUGAGGCUCACAAUCAAGAUUAACUUUAUCGUGCUCAGGCGUGCCACUGCCAUCUUCAGUAUGGCAGAUGUUGAAUGGGUGUUUAAGCUUUGAUUGAAUAUGUAUACGCCCGAGAAACCGAGUUAGAUAUAACAGGUGCCUUUGUGAGGCCUUAGGUAUAGGCCUUGAGGCUUCCUGUCAAACUAAACCAGCGCUUGGAUGUAUCAUAUUUGGCCUUUUAUGGUUGCCAGAGUUUUAUCACUAUUAUACCUUUGAUUAUCUGAAUCCAAGAGGUAGGACGAACCCAAAUGAGUGCCUUUGUAGGGCCUUAGGUAUAGGCCUUGAGGCUUCCCAUCAGAGUUAAUCCUUAUACUCGGACCAACUAGCAACAACAUAAAAUGAAGCUAAAUAGAUGCCUUCGUGGGGCCUUAGGUGUAGGCCUUGAGGCUUUCUAUCAAAAUUCACUCUAUGCUUAAGCCUUUUCUACGAAUCAAGAUAUAAUAGCAACAAAACGGAGAAAUAGAAAUAGAUUGAUUACUUGCGCCCCAAGUAACUUCGGACUUCUCGCUUAUCAAGGAUCGUCGUGGAUGGGUUGAGUCCACAUAGAGUUCUUUUUUAUGCCUUGAGGCCAAGAACUUUUAAACUGAUCUUUAAAUUACAUGCCCGCGGGCUUAAGCCUCAGAUCUGAUCUAAACUCUGACGUGAUUCAGAUCGGAUUCAAGUGCUGAAGACUCAUUUUCAUUGUGACUUUGCCAGAAAUAACUUGUAUAUAACUGAGAAUAUAUAACAUGUUAUUGUGCUUUUAAAAGAAAGAAAAGACAAAGACAGAGCAAAGAUAGUCAAAGAUAGUCAAGUUUGAACCUUAUCGGCCAAGGCUGAACUUCUUACAAAAUCUAUCUUUGUGGCUCUAUCAGAGGUCUGAAAGCUUUCAGAAGGGGUUGAUGGGAGAAGAGGAUACAAAAUGAAUCGAUACCACCAAGAACAAGGUAGCAGAGCUAUUACAGGGGUUUGGAAGGUUUCCCGAGCGGGAUGAAGGCUUGCUGACUACAGCUUUGUUGAAGGCAAAUCUGGCUUGAGCAGAGUUUUGGCUUUUGUUUGUUUAUUUGAGUGUCCCUAAUUCUCUCUCUUCUCUCCUCCUCCUUUUAUAGACGGAUUCAGCUGGGGGUUCCUGUAGCAAUGGCGGUUGCCCGAAUGCGGUUUGGUGAUGACUCACUAGCUUUUUUUACAUGAAUGCCACCAAUAAUAAAAGUACUUUAUUGGGCUGUGCAGUGAUUGAAAUAACAAUAACUACUACCCCCCUGUGCUCUGGACUUUGAGCAGGUAAACAGGUGGCCUUUGUAAUUUGUGCCCAGCCGAAAGCCUCUUUCCUGCCUCCUAAGUUUUCCUCUGGGCCUUGGGUUUGGGCCGACUUUCUCUCUGGCCCAAAGUUCAGAUUUUAUCCCAAACAGUAUCUACCCUAACCAGGUUGUCCAUAAUAACCACAUUACAUAAAUAAUAUUAAAUUGUACUGAAGUAGAAGUCAUCCAUGAAGAAAGUAUAUUGAAGAUACUAAUAAAAAAAUAUGGAUAUGUCAAUUACAUAGUGCCCUCCAGAUGUAAUAGUAUAUAUCCGUAAAUCGCCAACGGAGCAGUCAAGGAGCUUGUCCUUCAAAGCUUCAGUUGGGUCCACCCAGGUGUUUCAUUCUCUACCUUCCACAACAAAGACCAAUCAAAAAAUUUAGUUGAACAACUGAAAAACAAGUAAUAAUACACACAGAAACACAUAUAUAAUGAGUUUUGAAUCGACAUGUUUGAAGCUUAAACUCAUGAAUCUGAGUAAAACAAUGGAUAAGAAGAAAUGUCGAGCUAAAAUAACAAAAGAGACGAAAAAUGUUAGUGCACACAAUUGUUAACCAUUAUGCAGGAAAGAAGAGAACAGAGAGAUUUCAGAAGAAGGAGGAAACAAAGAAGGUUGAGAAGAAAGAGAGAAAGAGAGAGAAGAAGAAAUUUUACACACACUUAUAUUUUCUUGAAUGAACCAACGGUUAACAAUGAUACAAAUUGUUAUAUAGAAAUAGUAGCACCAUGAGCUAACUGACUAACUGAUCUAUAUCCAAGCAACUCACUAAUCCUAAAUCUGAUUAAGUCACUUAAAUCCACCAUCCUAAUUGCUUCUCUAUUUGGCUAAUCACAUGUGUCCUAUAUACUCUAACAAAAAAGCCCCUCAAACUCUGGAAGAGAGUUGGGCAUGCCACAGCCCAUCAUGCAACCAGAUUGAAGCAGUAAUCAAUAGGUGACAAAUAGUUCACCUAUUUGAGAGUGAGCGGUUGUCAAAGAACACCUUAGGUAGUAUUCCACACAAUUGGAAGUGAGAAGGAAUUGCAGGUGCCAACCUUAAAAACCCACUUACCUAAAUCACAAAAAUGCCAUACAGAAGCCAACGUAAUUGCCCAAUAUCAAUGAUUACAAUGAAUACAUUCCCAUAACCAUAACCUAAUACAAUAAAAGAUCGCUCGGAACUCAUGUACAACAGUCAAUUUUUGAAAGUAACUGAACACCAAUUUUCGCCUUGUUGUCAAAGUUAGAGAACUGGAAAUAUCAACUUGAAUACACAAUGUACCGAAACCCACUGAAAUCAUCACUGAGAGCUCCUUGCAGUUUCAAACUCAAUCAGUCAAAAACAUCCAAAACUUGAAUUUUUGCUGCAUCAACAUAACUAGUUUAAGGCUGCUCCUUGGAUUCAUUCAUUACCAUACCAUAAGUCUGCUUUAUCACUGAUAGAAUUCCUGCAUGGAAGCAAAUAGAUGGAAACCUCUCAAGUUCUGGAAAUUUCAAAGAUGGAAUUAGAUGAGGCAGGGCAAGAUUCAAGAAAUGACACGAGAAAUAGAUGACCAUAACAUAGUUCGUCUCAAUUGACUCCAUUGAAAUCAGAAACUGAAAGAAAGUCUAUGAUCCUCCAAGUUUGGAUCUUGUGUAAUAUAGAGCUAUGAGCAACAGUUUUGAGCAGAACAAUGGGUAAAUGCAAAAGUAUGGCCCUAACAAUUUGAACACAAUCUUAAAAUGAUCAUGUAGUUAAUUUCAGGUGGCAGAGAAUGAUUAGAAGAUGAGAUGGGAGAAUGAGCCAAUAACUCCUUUUGUCUCAGAUUUAGAUACCAUAGCAUUACAAGAAUAGGUGGGCACAGAAGUUCAGAACCACAAAGGAUCUUCACAAUGGCCGUCACUGCAGAUUGCAUUGAAACAUAAAAAAAUGUGGAAAAUCCUCUCAUGAGUGAAAUGACACUCUCAACGCCCCAAUUUACAGAUUUGAAUGUGUUGCUAUAUUUGCAGGUAAGUACCAUUCAAUCAAUGCAAUGAUGAAUCACAAAGUCUCAUCAUCAAAAUGUGACACCAAGAACAGAAAGUCCAUCCCUUGCUUCUUUAAGCCUUCUUAUGAUAUUGGGAAAAAUGAAAUGAUGAUCCUUUCUUCAUGUUGUAAAGAUCACUCUGUAACGUGAUUAUACUACUUUUUUGUACUUGGUAAGAAAAAGUGGUUUUUGAAACGAAACCCACAUUCUCUCGAGAGACUCUUGCUACCAAUUACACAUGAGAUAGCGGAUGAAGAGAGAGAGUUGCAGUAAGUAAGUCAAACAUCAAACUUGAGCUUCUUUAAGCCUUGAUUCAGUUUCCAUGCUUUAAACUCAAACAAAAUCUGAGGCAUGCUAGCAUGGGCCCUCUAAACUGUGAGUUACAUAAUGCAGCUAGGAAUGUCUUGACCGACGAAUGAACAGAAUUACAAGGAUAGAGCAAACCCCAUCAAAUUCUGAUCCGUAUCAAAAUAAUUGCACCCAAAACCAUAAAAUGCCAUAUGACAAUCUCAAGCAUCAAAUUGCAACAGAAAGCACAUGAAGGUAGUUAUGGUCUCAUAUCCAACUACCGAUCACAGAGGAUGAUAAAGAAGAUCAUUAAGGCCCAAGAAAUCAACCCAGUAAUUGGAGACUGCAAGAUUUGCAGUUGAGAAGCAGUAACCAUUGUGAAGAAUUUUUGCUGAGGAAUAAAAACAAACACUUGGUGUGUAGGAACCACUCAACCAAAGCGAAGAACUGAGGAAGAAGAAAGAAAGAAAAUCACAUCCAAAUGAAACAGAGAUCAUAGAAAGAAAGACAUUUUGAUCAAAGAGGAGAAGCUGAACUUGGAAAUUUGCAUAGAAAACCAUUGGUGUGUAGAACCAGAAGAAAAGCGCCCAAAAAUCACAUAGAAAUCAUAGAGAUCAUAGAAAGAUGAGAGAUUGUAUCAAAGAGGAAUCUGUUUGGAUUUUAUAAUUGGUUCUUGAAACUUCUUGCUGAUAGUUGCAAAAAGUAGUGCUCAGCAACUAAGAACCAACAGAUGAGAUUAAAGCCCAUCAACCAUGAAGAUAAUCUUGAUACAGAAGAAGAAGAAAAGAAUUUCGUGUAGCGGAAGCAAAAAAAAAAAAAAGAUCAAAGAAGCUGAUCAAUCUUUAAUGGCUCUUGAUACCAUGUUAACCAUUAUGCAGGAAGAAGAGAACAGAGAGAUUGCAGAAGAAGAAGGAGGAAACAGAGAAGGUUUAGAGAGAGAGAGAGAGAGAAAGAGAGAGAAAGAGAAUGAAUUUUCACUUAUAUUUUCUUGAAUGAAUCAAUGGUUACAAUGAUACAGUUGUUAUAUAGAAGAGUACAGAGCUAACUGACUUAACUGACUCUAUCCCUUAGGAACAAUCCUAACUGAUUAUUCUAACAUCCACCAUCCUAAUUGCCUUCUCUAUUUGGCUAAUCACAUGUGUCCUAUAUACUCUAACAACAAUGUCAAUAUUGCCUCCGAGCUAAUAACAAAACUAAGAUGAUUGUAUCUUUGGGUCGCUAAAACUCAAUUUGGCCAGCGCAAACAGAUGCAGCAAAAUACUAAUUGUAAUUUGGAUGGCAUUAGAAAGAGAAUACUCAUCACUUUGACAAGUGCUCGAAGAGGGAACACACCAGUUAUCAAGAGAGGAAACAUAAAAUGUAAUAAAAUAAUGCGACAAAAUAAAGAAAUUAAAAAUAAAAGAAAAAUAAAAUAAAAAAAAGUGAGAGCCAAGUAAAACCAAAAGGAUAAGCCAUGACGAAAUAGUAAGCUACCACAAAAAAAGGGGAUAAACUGCUAACCUUCUUCGAUUAGACCCUUCAAAACCCAUAAAUCACCAAUUAUUGGAACUUCACCUCCUAUGAAAGUCAAGACAAGUAUUCAUGUCAGCUCAAUUGCAUAUAAAUAAACCCAAUACAAAAAACGAAAGGGAAAGGAGGAAAGAAAAAAGAAAAAAAAAAGAAAAAAAAAAAGAAUCAGCGGACUUUGAACACUGAUUAGAUUUCUAUUGAUAAUUUGUAUAUCCUUGUCCUUUAGUUCAAAAGAUUCCAGGUAGCCAUGGGGCCAGUUAAACAGUUAGACAGUAGAAGUUUGUCGCACCAAAUAAUUCAAGCAUUCAAAAUGCUUGCGGACACAAUGUAGUAAUAUUAUCACUUAAUACGGAAAACCACGAAUGACUAGUGCAAUAAAAUAGGCACUUAAAUUAUCUUCAAAGGGUAUGGAAAGAAUGGUCUGCCUUCCCAAGUACAUUUCAUGGGAAGACGAGUGGAACGAUUUUCUGGGGAUGCAAUGGCGUAACUAGGAUUUUCAAAUAAUAUGGUCAUAAUAUCAUUCAUUGGCCAUUUUGUCGAGCACCUAGUAGGCAUUUGUCAAUUCUUGUCAACAUAUGUCGAAAGUUUAUAUAUGCUAACAUAUGUCAACAACAACUAUUGUUUGUAGAGGCUUGUCGAUAGUGGAUGCAAGAUACUGUGAAGUAAUGUUGAAGGUGGCCAAGGGGUUUCUGAUAGGAACAUAUUUAUGCGACUUAGUUAGCUUGUUCUUGUGCAUUUGUGUUGUUAUUUCUUAGUUAAUUAUGUAUUUUAAGCUAUUUUCGUGUGUUUGUAGGUCAUAAUAACAAAGUUGGCAAGAAAGUGCAUUUUGGAGCAUUUUAGAGCAUUUUUGAGCCAAGAUUGGAUAGUGCAAGUAUGGAGACAUGAGGAUGGACGAUUUUGAAGAUUUGAAGGCUAGAAAUCAAAAUGUGUGUGUGUGUGCAAGUGUGUUGAUCUACAACUCCAAACAUCCAUCCACUACACCCAUUACAUCCACUCAUUACCAAACACUCAUCCAUUACACCCAUUACAUCCACUCAUUACCAAACACUCAUUCACUACAUCCAUUACAUCCAUUACAUCCACUCAUUACCAAACAUCCACCAACUACACCCAUUACAUCCACUCAUUACCAAACACUCAUCCACUACACCUAUUACAUCCACUCAUUACCAAACAUUCACCCACUACACCCAUUACAUCCACUCAUUACCAAACACUCAUCCACUACACCCAUUACAUUCACUCAUCACAACUCCAUACACUCCUCUCCUUAGCCUAUAAAUACAUCCACCCUUCACCAUAAUUUGGAGGCCAUCAUCCAAAGACACCACAUCAUCUACACAACUCUCCACCCUUCACCAUAACUCACUUAUAUCCAUCCACCACCACAAGAGACCAUCCAUUCAUCAAACCACGCCUUGUGCCGCAACAAAGAGAAGAAGGAGGACCCUUGGACGUGCUUGCCAUUCAAGUUGGAUUGUUGGAGCGUUUUUAGGUGUUUUCAUUCUUUUGCUUUCAAUGUCUACUUUGUUAUUUUCUAAUUUUGUUGCAAUUAUGAGUGGCUAAACCCCCAUUUAGUUAGGGGGAAGUUUGAAGCCAUGAACAUGCUUGAGAUAUGAAUUGAUUUCUUCUAAUUGUGAUUUGAUAAGUUGUGAUUGCAAUUCAAUUAUCUAUUUUAUUCAUAACUGAUUCUUGUAUGUUUAUUAAGGAUGCAUACUUAAUUUUCAUGCAUGAAUUAGAUGCUAGAAUAUAAAUGAGUUUCACCUAAUCGUUACAAGUUUAUAUUCAUGAGUAGUGAAGGUUGUUUAUCACAAUCGCAUUAAUUGAAUUCUUGGCAAUUGUAUCAUGCACUCAUAGUUAUAAUUACCUCGUCAACACUUAUGAUUUUCAUUGAACGUAAUGAUCUCUGAUUGUAUCUCUAUUAUGCAUUCAUAUAGGGGACUUUUAGAGAAUGAUUUGGGUUGUCGCAUGCAUUCAUCAAAUUCAAUGAGUAAAGGAAAAUCUGAGGGUUAAUUUGUGCAUCACGGUUAAUCUGGGGUGUUGAGUAUCAUAGUUUAUUGAAAAGCAAUUGGAAAUCAAUUCAUGUACAAGUGUGUCAUGUGUGAAGAACGGACCUCUAACUAAUCCAUCUAUCAUUUUAUUUCUCAAAUUUAUUUUAUAAUCUGCCUAGUUUUAUAACUUGCUUGUUUAUUUCAAAUUCAUCCAAAUCAAAACUCCCAUUUUACUUUCUUGUUCCAAAGUGUUUAAAAUCUGUUUUGUUUGUGUUUUAGAGUGUUUUGAUUUAAGUUAAAACACUAAAUUCGUCCAAAGUUGUCUUUGAGUCAAAUCUGCCACCCGUUUGUGCUUUUAGGCAAUUUUUGAGUGUUUUUAAGUUAUUUUGAGUCUUUAGAAUCUGUUUUGAGUCCUUUGAGUCUAUUCAAAUGUUUUUAACUUUGUUUUUAUGUUUUUGAGUAAGUUUAGAGGUUUUAGCAAGCCCUCCUAAUCCCCGGUUUAAGAACGAUCCCUACUUGGAUUUAUACUACAAUUUGACAACAAGAGAGUUUAAUUUGAGUGCUUAACUUUCAUCGCAUCAGUUUCAACUAAAAUAUUUCAUACAAGAAGAGAGAAAAGGAAGACACAUAAUUAAAGAAAAUAGAAGAAGUAGGAGGACGAGGUUAAAAUUUAGUUUGCCUUAGGGGUCAAAGAUAAUAUACAGACAAAUAUACAAAGGCUUUUUGGAGUUAUUGGAGUAAAAAACAACCAAUGACCCAUGCUGACUCCGUCACUGUAGGGAUGAUAGGUCUUUUGAGUUACAUUGGACUUGCAUGAAAGUAACAAUUAAUUCAUUGUUUCCCAAUUAAGUAAUUAGGUUGGUCUAAUGGGGCAUGAGAAAUUGCAGGAUAGUUUGCUCUGAUAAGAAACUUUAAUGGAAAUGAAAGAAUACAAAGCAGAGGGCAAGCUCUCCAUAAAUCCUGACUAGUAAUCUAUAAAAAUAAUAAAUAGCCAUCAAAGAAAUUACAUCAAAAUAGUAGAGUCAAUUAGGACAAGACUCUUUAGAAUUAGUUGUCCUCAUUUCUCAACUUCAACUAAACAACAUGGGAAAAACCUUUCACAAAAUAGCAUUCCUUUCAAUCAUAUGUAUUAAAAAUUAAAACAAAAUCAAACUCGAAAGGAAGAGUUGUUAUGAAACGCAAUUAUAUGUUUGAAAUGGUACCAGGCAUAUUGUUUGAGGUUGAUAAAGAUUGAAACUUUGAAUAAAGGUUUGAAGAAAUUUGUGUUUUUUUCAAGAGAGAAAAAGGAAGGGCAAGAGUCUGUGUCUAUUUUUCAUAUAUCUCAAAAGGCAAAUUACAAAGACAAUAUUUAUCACAGCUGGUCUAAAAACCAGAUCCUACAUAUAGGGACCUAGUACUCCUCUCCGACCAUUAAUGGUUAUCGGAGGAUAUCAUCCAUUCACUUGGAAGAAGAUGAGAAUGCUCAGUACAAUUAAAAAGAUAAGAACACCAGCUGUAAUCUUUCUAAAACUAGAAAAAGAAACUAGCCGUUGCUUUUAAUGGCUCCUUCUAAUUUUAGUAAGACCUUCAUUUCUUCACACUUCUCAGCUUCCUUUCGAUUUCAUCUGCAGGUUAAUUCUAAAGCUAGGAGGCAGCUUAAUUCUCAACAGCCUCUCCUAAGCUGCUUACUGGCUUCACUCCUAACUUCAUCCUCAAGUAAUUGAAUCGAUCUUUAGGCAAAGCUUUUGUAAAUAUAUCUGCCAACUGUUCUUCACUCCUACAAUAUUCCACAUUAAUGGAUCCUUGCUGCAAUGCUUCCCGAAUAAAAUAAUAUUUCCUGUUUAUAUGUCUGGUUCUCUGAUGAAAGACUGGAUUUUUGACCAUCGAUAUUGCUGACAUUUUGUCACAAAACAAUGGUGUUGCUUCAGUUUGCAUUUCACCAAAAUCAUCCAACACAAAUCUUAGCCAGAUAGCUUGAGCCGUUGCCUCAGCUGCUGAGACAUACUCUGCUUCUGCAGUUGACAAUGCAACUGUGUUUUGCUUGACUAAGGCCCAUGAAAAUGUACCACUACCAAAGCUGAAUGCAUACCCAUAUGUGCUCCUACUGUCAUCUUCACUGCCAGCCCAAUCUGAGUCACAAAUCCAAUCAAAACAGCAUCAUUGUCCCUUGUAAAUUCAAUGUCAUAGCUGAGAGUGCCUUGACUGUAUAUGAGAACUCUUUUAACUAUUCCCAUGUGCUUUUUCGUGGGACCAUGCAUGAAUCUUGAUAGCAAAUUGGUAGUAUACAUUAUAUCAGGCCUGGUUGCAGUUAAAUAUAACAGACUGCCAACAAUUUUCCUAAACAAACCUUCAUCAGUCAACUCACUUCCAUCAACUUUCUUCAGUUUCUCACCAGUGGGUAGAGGAAUUGACACCGACUUACAAUCCUCCAGGCCAAACUUUACGAGUAAAGACUUUGCAUACUUGCUUUGAUGAAUAAAAACCCCUUUAUCAGUUUGUAGAACUCCCAUUCCCAAGAAAUGAUGUAAGAGUCAUAAAUCAGUCAUAUUAUAUUUCUGCAUCAUGUCUUUUUUAAACUCACUGAGCAAUGUAUUGCUGCUUCCAGUGUACACUAUAUCAUCAACAUAUAUAGAGACUAUGAUCAGAUUUCCUUCUUCAUCAGUUCUGGUAUAUAAGGUAGCUUCACUGGUGCUCCUUUUGAAAUUGCAACUAGUGAGAUAAGUGUCAAUCUCACUGUACCAGGCUCUGGGAGCCUGCUUCAAACCGUAGAGAGCCUUCUUUAACUUAUAGACCUUGUGACUUGCAUUCUGAACUUCAAAACCUUCUGGUUGUUCAGUGUAAACCUCCUCUUCAAGUACUCCAUUCAAGAAGGCUGACUUAACAUCUAAUUGGAACAGCUUCCAACCCUUUUGUGUUGCAAGUACAAUCAAGGUUCUAAUUGUAUCUAACCUUGCCAUUGGGGCAAAUGUUUCAUUAUAAUCAAUACCAGGUUUCUGGGUAUACCCUUUUGCCACAAGCCUAGCCUUGUGCUUUUGAACUGAUCCAUCCACAUUCAACUUAGUUUUGAACACCCAUUUGACUCCUAUGACUAGUUUGUCUGCAGGCCUUUCCACCAGCUCCCAAGUUCCAUUCUUUUCAAUAGUUUCAAUCUCAGCUUCCAUUGCUUCCUUCCAUGCUUUAUCUUCAAUAGCAUCAUGAUAGGUUUCAGGUUCAAUAAUGGUCAUAUGACAUCUUGCAUAGAUGUCUUCCAAGCUUCUCAGCUUUACUGGAGUAUUGCUUGGUGUUGAACCUUGACUGGUACUGGCAAUGUUGUUUCUAGGGACAUAUUCAUCAUCUGAGACUAAUUGAGUGAGAUUUGGAGAGUCAAUGCUGUGAGUUUCAUGAGGGGAUUCUUCAGUUUCAACUAUCUCAUAAUUUUCAUUUCCAAUGUUGAGAGGCAUGUAAACAGUUUCAUCUUGCUUGCUUUCCCAAUUCCAGGACUUGUUCUCAUUGAAUACAACACUUCUUGAGAGUAUGAUCUUCUUAGUUUGAAGAUUAUAGAUCCUGUAGCCUUUCUCACAGCUGCCAUACCUCAUAAAGAUUCCCUUGCUAGCUUUGUCAUCAAAUUUCUGUCUGAGAUUUGAUGGAAUGUGACUAUAACAUAUACUUCCAAACACUCUCAGAUGUUUUACACUUGGUUUUCUCCCUGUGAAAGCUUCAAAUGGUGUUUUGUCUGAGACUGCAGUGGUAUAACACCUAUUUUGCAGAUACACUGCAGUGCCAACUGCUUCAGCCCAAAACUUGACAGGAAUUUUCUUCUCAGACAUCAUUGAUCUUGCCAUUUCUCCAAUGGUUCUAUUUCUUCUCUCAGUAACCCCAUUUUGCUGAGGUGAGUAGGCAAUAGUCAGCUACCUCUCCAUGCCAAGAUCACUACAAUACUCAAGGAAUUCAUGUGAGGUGUAUUCUCCACCUCUGUCACUUCUUAGUUUCUUCAAUUUAAAUCCACCUUGAAGUUCAACAAAUGCUUUGAAUUUUUUGAACACAUUUAUCACAUCCGACUUGUUUCUGAGGAAAUAUACCCAACACAUCCUUAAGUAAUCAUCAAUGAAUGUGAUGAAGUAUUUGUUCCCUCUAAUGGACUCAUUUUGCAUUGGACCACAUACAUCCGUGUGCACCAAUUCAAGUGGAUUGUUUGCUCUCCAAGGUUUCUCAUUCUCAAAUGGUUUUCUGUGACUUUUACCAUACACACAGCUUUCACAUAUUCUUUCUUUUUCUGAGAAAUCAGGUAAACCCAACACCAUUUGUGUUUGCUGCAUUUUCUUCAUGCUAGUAAAAUUCAAAUGACCCAAUCUUCUAUGCCAAACCCAUGGAUCUUCUUGUAUUGCUGCUUUCCUUGCCACUGAGUUAACAGAUUCCAUGGACAAUGGAAAACAUCUAUUUCCAGUCAUUGCAACUUUAGCAACAACAUUAUCAAGACUACUAUCAUCACAUAUUAAUGCACAAUUUUCUCCAAACAGAAUGUAGUACCCAUGCUCAAUCAUUUGCCCUAUGCUCAGUAGGUUUUCAUCAAAUACAGGAACUAGCAGCACUUCAUUUUUGUAUCUUCUCCCUUUUCGUGUCUCAACUACAAGUGUCCCUUUUCCUGUAGCUUGAACAAGGUCUCCAGUGCCCAUUUUUACUUUGCAGGUCACUGACUUAUCAAGAUUGAUCAAUAAGGACUCUUGAGAGGUCAUGUGAUUGCUACAUGCGCUGUCCACAAACCACAAAGAUUUGCUUGAUGCAAUUGAACUUGCAUGACAAACAUAUAACAUUGUUCCUGUGACUGCAUCUUCUUCCUUUGCACAAUUUGCAACCUGUUUACCAUUGUCACAAUCCUUAAAUAAGUGACCAAAUCGACUGCAUCUUCCACACUUGGGUUUUCCUUUAUAUCUGCAUAUACCAAAAUGGUAUUUGUCACAUACUUGACAUAGCGGUUUCACAUUUCCUUCGCUGCCACUUGGUUGCUUGUUGUGUGCAGUAAAUUUGUUGUUCCAGCCACUACCACUGCCAUUAUUCUAGCUGUUUUGAGACCAAUUCUUACCCUUCUUAUACUGACCCCAUUUUGGGUUUGUCUUAUACUGAGACCUUUUGACACUUCCAGUGCCAUUUCCAUUUCCUCCAACUUUAAGACUGCUGAAAGCUCUCUCAGUACCUGUAUAUUUCUCUCUUUCAUCAUGCAAGUCUUCUCUUUUAUCAUAGACUUUCACUGAAGCUAAGACUUCCUCAACUCUAAUAGUGUCUAGAUCUCUGGUUUCUUCAAUGAUUGACACUAUGGACUUAUAUAUCCUACUUAGACUCAUCAACAGCUUUUGAACAAUUCUUUUCUCUGUUACAUCUUCUCCUAGAGAUUUCAAGUUGUUUAUUAUCUCAAAGAACCGAGCUAGGUAGUCAUCCAGAGAUUCAACAUCAUUCAUCCUUAGAUAUUCAAAAUCAGCUUUAAUGGCUUGUAAUUUCACAGCUCUUACCUUUUUAUCUCCUCUGAACUCUCUUCUCAGGAUUUCCCAGGCACCCUUUGCAGUCUUCUCAUUUUGGAUUCUGGGAAAAAGUUCAUCAGUGAUUGCUCCUUGAAUGAGGCUUAGAGACUUGGCAUUCUUGAUCUUUUCCUCCUUUGAAACAAUUGGUCUUUCAACUGGAAUGUGCUCUGACUCGCUUUCUCCUUCUUCCUCAGAAAUUUCCUCUCUGGAAGUUUGUUGUCCAGCAAGACCAACUUCAACCACAUCCCAUAGAUCGUAGGCUAUGAGAAUGGUUUCCAUUUUUACGGCCCAAAAAUCGUAGUUUGAUCCAUUAGAUUGUGGUGUUCGUAAAUCACCACCGAAGGAGCUUGAUCCAGCCAUCUUCUCUGGCAGCACCACUCAAAUGGUUAUAAAGGUACCACCUUUAAGCUUUUUUUUUCGGAGAUGGAUCUCUCUCACAAUAUCACGCCUUUUCUUCCGAAUUAGACCCGGAGCUCUGAUACCAUGUUUGAAAUGGUACCAGGCAUAUUUUUUGAGGUUGAUAAAGGGAGGGCAAGAGUCUGUGUGUAUUUUUCAUAUAUCUCAAAAGGCAAAUUACAAAGACUAUAUUUAUCAUAGCUGGUCUAAAAACCAGAUCCUACAUAUAGGGACCUAGUACUCCUCUCCGGCCAUUAAUGGUUAUCGGAGGAUAUCAUCCAUCCACUUGGAAGAUGAGAAUGCUCAGUACAAUUAAAAAGAUAAGAACACCAGCUGUAAUCUUUCUAAAACUAGAAAAAGAAACUAGCCGUUGCAUUUAAUGGCUCCUUCUAAUUUUAGUAAGACCUUCAUUUCUUCACACUUCUCAGCUUCCUUUCGAUUUCAUCUACAUGAUUAUCUUCUGCAGGUUAAUUCUAAAGCUAGGAGGCAGCUUAAUUCUCAACAUCAUAAACAUAGUGAAAGCAUGCUACUUUACCCUUGCUAAUAUAAACAAGCAACCAUUUCAACCAUGGUAGCUGUAUGGCAACAUCCAGGUGGAGGUGAAGACCCAGCUGUAACUGACAGCUUCAUCCACUGGAGUGAUACUGUAAGGGAGCAAAUCAAGCUAGAACUGAUUUACGACCAUUUCAACAAAUAUACUCAAUCAAACAUGAAGCAGAAAAUAACAGAUAAUUCAAAAAUCAUAUAGAAAAGAGUAUACUUGUGUCCAAGACUUACACAUCUAGAGAUGGGCAUAAAAACCAUCGAACCGCGAAACUAAAUCAAAACACGACAAAAUAAACCAUAAAAAAUCGUGUUGACCAAAAAAAGCCAAACAAAGAAAGAACAAAAAUAUAAAAUAAAAAGAAAAGAGAAACCAAGUGCCAAAAUUCCCACUAACCCAUCAUAUUAUUGUAUCUAAAUACAACACCAUAUUAGUCACUUAGUACUACGGUCUAAUGGCAUUCCUUUUCCUCUCGUCAAAUGUACAUUAUUGCUAACCCAUCGUAAGACAUCGCGCACUCUCCCACCCCCUUAGUAUAGAUGAUAUCGUUUGUUAAAAAAAUUACAACAUAAUAUUAAAGACUAAUGAAUUUCAGAUACAUAAACGAGAAAGAUCAUUAAGAGUCUAUACCAAAUUAAUGGAAAAUAAACACCUAUUCGCUUCUAAUCUUUAUUUUGUGUUUCUAAUAAUUCUACUUAAAAACAAACCACCCUCAUUGAUUAUACUUUAAACCACCUUAAGAGAUACCGUUGCGAUACUAUAUCCAUCAACAUUAACCUAGUUUUUUUAGCACGAAUUUUGCUCAGGAAACCAACAAUUCUUAAUUAACUAGUCAAUAUAUUUGACUAGAAUCUACUUGAAUUCCAGAUCAAAUUCCGUUACCACACAAUACUAAGUAUUAGAUAAUUUAGAUUAUGAUAAUCUAUUUAGUAGUCAGUGGAUUCUAGUGCAUUCAGCUCAGGAUUAUAGCAUGUAUUGCUUUUUCAUCUCCGGCCCGUAACUUUCAGGAUACAGUAGGUACUGGAUUGGAUUGGAUUUUCAAAUUGAAACCGUAAUCCUAUUGUUUUCUGGCGUUUUCUCGGCAGCCAAAUAGUCAACAAUUCUUUUCCAUGCGUGCAGAUUCUCGACAACCAACCGAUCGAAGGUUUUGAUUCGGAAUCGAUUUGAGGGAUUGAGAUUAGCAUUGAGGCAACCAACCAAUCUGCUGUUGUGUUGGAUUGGAUUUGGGAGAUUCAAAUGCAAAAAGGAAUGAUUUCUCUUUCUUCAACCUCCGGGACGGUAGGAGACGAACAGCAGAGGUAGGAGAUGAGAGUUUUAACCGAAGAGUAAUUAAGUCUUUUACACUUUCAAUUUUGGUUAAUUUUAAAACAAUGGAAAACAUAGGCUAUAUUUCAUUAGGUGGUUCUCAAAAUGGUUAUCUUUCCAAAUUUCUCACAUAUUGCUAUUUGUGUUGUGAAUAAUGUGGAUGGCACACAUGAAUAGUUUGUUACUAUUUAUGCAUAGUAUUUUUACCAUUCAUUUGUGGAGAAUUUGUAAAGUGAAUAGUGUUCUCUUUUGUUUAUAAAAUUAAUGAGAGGUGAAGAAGGUUGAGAGACUCACGGAGAGAUAAGAAGGAAGAAAGGAAGAGAUAAAGGAGAGGAAUAGGAGAGGAGAUAAUAGAGAGAGUUAUCUUUGUACUCCCAUUAUUCUAAAUUAUAAUGAAAGCACCACUACUGCCCCGAUGACGUACUCCAGUCACACUGAUUGUAAAGGAACCUCGUAAAUUUUGUGUCUUGUUUCAUUUAUUCCACUGCACCCACCGUCGAUUUUACAACACGUUAUCAACACGAGAAGCUCUCAUGUCAGUGGAAAGCACAACGCCAUAAAUCCGGUGAAGCAUUACCUACCUCUCACCUCUGCUAGCCAAAAUAUCACAGAAUAAAAGGUAUGUCCAUUUUCUGUCUCUCCCACUGUGCCUGAAGCACCCCACCAAAUUCCAGUGAGAAUUGAAAUUUACAACGACCUGAAGUCGUCACGAGAUGAGAAAACUCUUACUUGACAAUUGGUUUCCAAAGAUCCAGAAGAAUCUCAUCAGACUUGGAAACUCAGAUCGCGUCGUUUUUUAUGGAUCUCGAGAACUCCCAUGAAUACUCGAUUGUCUAAGAUGGUGAUGGCAGACCUGACUCCACAUAGGCCUCCCUCUCUUGUACCUCCAUCAACUCCGUUGUCAUCUAUGUCCCUAUAGGAAAGUUCUUGCUUUGUGAUGCCAUGUUCUCUGGGCCAUGCAAGAACAACGCCAAUCUGUAGUAGCCUUAUUGGAUUGAAUUGGUUUUAUGUGACCUCCACAACAACCCAGAUGGCCCUGGGUUUGAGACUAGUACAGACAGACAAAUAAGAAAAAGGAAGGAGGGAUUAUGGAAUGGUGUUUCAAGCACCGUGUGAAAAGGAAUUGGAAAAGUGGAAUUUUUGGACAAAGGUUUCUAAUGAUGCAUCUGCACCAUUUGAAUGAAAAAUAAUAAAUUAAUAAAAAGGGUUUUAGUGCUAUAUGAAAAAAAGGGUGGAAUCUUGUUGCAUAGUGCCGACACAACAUGUGAAAAAGAAAUAAUAAAAACAAAAAAGAUAAAGGCUUUUGGAUGGUGUUGUACCAUCAGAAAAGAAAGAAAGAAAAAAAAAAUUAUUUAUGUGAAUGGUGUUGGUUUAAAACACUUUCACAAGUUCUAUUUACUUUAAAGCAAUUUAUUUAUCAUGGACGGUUUUACCGCCUACUGCUUUAAGUUUUGAUUUAUGUGAAUGGUGUUGGUUUAAAAUCCUUUCACAAGUUCUAUUUACUUUAAAGCAAUUUAUUUACCUUGGACGGUUUUACCGCCUACUGCUUUAAGUUUUGAUUUAUGUGAAUGGUGUUGAAUUAAAGCCCUUGUUACAAGCUUUAUUUACUUAAAUGCAAUUUAUUUACUAUGGCUGUAAUUACUGCCUAUUGCUUUAAUUUAUUUAUUAUACUUAUUUUUGUUACAAUAAGUACAUACUGGACGUGAAGUUCCUUGAUCAGAUCAGAACCUGUAGUUUCUUGAUCCUCAUCACAUAAAAUGAUUGGACCCGAAGUUCCAUCAUGCAAAAAGUUCAGGCAUGAAGUCCCUAGAUCCUCAAGAUUGGACAUGAAGUUUCUUGAUAAGUACCUUAAGUUUGAAGUGUCGCAGUGCCUCAACUUAAUUGUAAUAAAGGUCAUAAGAGUCUCAGUCCACAUACUAUUUAAUAAGGACCAGAAGUUCCUUAUGUCCAUUCUCAAAAUGGUUUAGCAGAAGCAUUUAAUAAAGCGGAUGAAAUUGAUUACCCGCGCUCUGCUCAUGAAAACGAAAUUGCCAGUUUUGAUAUAGGGACAUGUCAUUUUACAUAAUUCAUUAUUAAGUUUGGUGGAGGCCAGUUGCCAACCACCAAUAUUUCCCAGUACAACUCAUGUUUGGGCACCAGCCAAACAUUAACAUUUACGAGUUUUUUGUUGUGUUAUCUAUGUGCCUAUAAGACUACCACAACGUACUAAAAUAAGGCAUCAAUACAAACUGGGAAUUUAUGUUGAAUUCUAUCCACCAUCUAUCAUUCAACAUUUGGAACCCUUGACUGGGGAUAUAUUUACCGCAUGAUUUGCAGACUAUGAUUUUGAUAAGACAGUUUUCCCGCCAUUAGGGGGAGAAAGUAACAUUGUUCCAGAAGAACGAUAAGAAAAUAUCCUUCCAUAAGAAUGAUAAGAAAAGACCGUUCCAAAAGAACGAAGAGAAUUUGUCUUAUUUUGAUUCACAAAGCAAUCAAUAUGAAAAUGAAGUAAGAAUAAUUGAAUGAUGCAACGAAAGUGAUGAAAUCAUAUAUACUUGCUGCAAAUGUGCCUACAAGAAUUAAUGUCCUUGUUGGACAAAAUAAUAUGGCAGUAAAUGAUUUAUCUGUUGCACGCCUGAAGCGUGGCAGACCCUUAGACUCAAAAGGUUCAUUCAUUCGAAAGAAAAAGAAUAUGGCACUGCUAAGCUAUUACAUUCCCGAAACAUAACUGUUGCAUGCCAGAAGCAUGACAGUCGCCACAUGGAUAUACGUCCCAGAAAGGACAAUCCGCGGACAUGGGAAUGUUGAUGUCUCAUGCAUGGAGCAUGAUAAACAUAUAGGUUCCAAUGACUUAACUCCCGGAAGUGGAGAUUAAAAUCCAAGUUCUAUAACGCUCUAGAAGAGGUUAUGAUCUGCAUUCUCUAAAUUAUGACUAUCCUGGAAGAGAUAGUGUAAUGCCCUUGAAAAGGCAAUGGAUAUCCAAAGAAAUAAAAAGCUUUUAUGCAUGCGCAUGCAUAUGAGAAUAUGGGAUCACGGAUUGAUGAUAAACAAUGGUAAUUUUGGUUUUUGUAAGUAGCUACUAAAUUCAUCAAUGAGCUGUGUUGAUAUUGAGUCUCGUUCUUUUUCGUCAACAAAACUAUUGGCAAAAUUGGAGAAAGGCAAUUCCAUUACAAUUUGUAAGAACGUGGAAAAAAUGGACCUAUAUAUAUUUGAAUAGCCAAAUUAUGUUGAACCAAUGAGGUUACAUAUAGGCAUUUGUAAUACAAUGAAAUACACUCACAUGAUAUGACAUAAGGUAUUGAAACUUGAAAUUAUACUCUUGUAAACAAGUUCAUAUGAAUGGAGAAUUAUAUACGAAGGGUUGUGAGUCACCCACAUCAUAUCUCCAUAAGUAAAUCCCUCAAGUAUACAUGGGAGAAAAUUGCUCUGUAUAAAUUCCAAAGGAAAAUGUAUCAUGAAGUGUAGAAAAUCCCUAAAGGAUACAAUGAAAUACACUCACAUGAUAUGACACAAGGUAUUGAAACUUGAAAUUAUACUCUUGUAAACAAGUUCAUAUGAAUGGAGAAUUAUAUACGAAGGGUUGUGAGUCACCCACAUCAUAUCUCCAUAAGUAAAUCCCUCAAGUAUACAUGGGAGAAAAUUGCUCUGUAUAAAUUCCAAAGGAAAAUGUAUCAUGAAGUGUAGAAAAUCCCUAAAGGAUUCAAAUUGCUUGAAGUAAGCCCCCGAAGGGUAAAGCAUAAAUUAUAUACUCAAUACCAAUGGAUGGUAUAAAUUGCCUUAGUGAGUACUAUCAUUAUGAUAUUGUUGCAACAUACUAAAAUCUCUUGCAAGAUUCAAUGACAUUAAAUAAGAACUCCUGAAGAGUUGAUGAUAUUAAAUUGGGACUCCUGAAGAGUCAAGAAAUAUUAUAAAGUGUUGAGAGAAAUAUUGUCUCGAGCUGCAGAUCGAACAAUCUACCAACAUGAAUCUUAUCCAUGAUGUCUAUAAUAUUAAAAGAACCAUAUGGAUUGAAGAUUAUGAGUUGAAUACUCAAAUGAUGUAGACACUAAGAAAGAUCAUUUAUCUUCGUGAGGGUAAAGAUAAAUUAAUGUUUGGUCCAGAAGUACCACAUCUUAGUGAAGUAUAUGCUUUAUUGUAUUUAGCACAAUACAUUGAAUGAAAUAAAACUUAUCUACUAAUAUCUCCGAGAAAUUACAGAUAUGUGCAUACACAUGAGUUAAAACGAACAAACAGGAUGAAGCCUUCACAAAGGUUGCUCAUGUGAAGCCUCAGUGCUCGACAGUACACCAGAAGGAGAAGGCAUUGGAGAUUGAUCAUGUGGCACCCCAGUACUUGGAAAAACACCAGGAGGGGAAGGCAUCAGUUGCUUUCGAAAUCUAGCAAUGAACCUUUGGUGAUCACUUUGAGUCCGACUUUCAGAUUCCUGCAGCUGGUCGAGCUUUCUUUUCAUGUUUGUAGAGUAAUUAUUUGCAAGCACGUGUAACACUCUAUUCUCAUGCUUGAGCCCUCUGAUCUCUUGUUUAAGACUUGCCACCUCAGCCAUCAAGGAUUCAACUUGGAAAGUUUGAGCAAGUAGGCGUUGGCCCAUAUGGAAACAGAGCCAGCACACUGAACACUGAGAGCCAAUGAGUCUUGAACAGCCAACUCGUCAGACCGUUUUGAAAAGAUUUUGUUAUCCUUUGGAGUGUGAAAAUUCCUAGCUACCACAGUAGCAGUUAUGUUAUUCUUCAUCACAGAGUCCCCAACUGUAAGAGGACCAUUAGAAGAUAAGAAGGACGGGCGCCAUAUGUUAUCUUGACGUUGCUCGUCUGUAUCACUCCUAAGACUCAAAUCUAAGCAAAUGUUAGAUGGGCAAGUCAUUUUCAGAAAUGAUGAAGGAAAAAUGAGGUCAAGUAAAAUUUCAGAAGUGCAAGAAGGAGGAAAUUUCUACAGGCAGCAACUUUCUGAGCAUACUCUUAAACACAAUUGAUGUCUCUAUGAAAGAAAAGGCAACAUAGCCACUUGUUUAGAGAUCGAAGAGGCACCGCUCUCCGAAUUUCAAAAGCCAGAUUUUCCUGAAUAAAGUUCGUUGGCAUUUUUCAGACGCAAUCUCAUCUUUUUCUGCUAUCGCAUGCAACUUUGUCAAAGAUCUCUGACAAAAUUGAAAACGCGUAAAUCUUACUAUUCUAAUUACACCACAGUUGCUGACAAGAGUAAAAGCACAUCACCAUUAUCUGCUAUUGGGAAAAUCCCUAUAUAUGUCGACCUUCAUCGUCCAUGGCAAGGCACACAUCUAAAACUCCUAACUUUCUCUCAUCUCCGAGAAUGCAUCUUCAACAAAGCAUCUCGAAAUACUCAGUUUUCUUCCUCUUCGAGAAUACCUCUUCAAACAAGUCACACCAGAGCAAGAGUAUCUCAUAUCUUCAGGGACGAGAGCAAGAGUAUUUCAUAUCAUGUAAUCUCCAUGUCCUUUCCUUUAUCCUUGUUCUUACUUGCAAAGACAAUAAUAAAGAAAGCAAUAUGUCGGAACGUCCACUCAAACUCCUGGUAAGGAACCAACUGCUUGGAACCUUUCCUGAUUGCUUACCUAGUAUUGCUCUCGAGUAGCCAUCUUCAACUGUUGUUGAAGUUGGGUCUCCAGUCACCAAGAAGUGAUGAACCAUCCAAAUGCAAGGGUUGCAUUCCACUCCUGCAUUAGAAGGCAAAUACUGCAGGAGAAUAUGCCACACAUGCAUGAGGGAAAUCCAGGGAAAAUACUACUUAAGCAAGGGGAGAAAGCAAGGCAAGUGAAAAUGAUACAUUGAAGUAUGUGGAGACAAGUGCAACAAACACAUGUUGAUUCAUCCUUGACAAAGCCGAAGAUCACUUGCCACGUGAAGCUUCUCACGGUACAACUUCAUUCAAGAUCAAGUUUCGAAGGUCCUUGAAGAAAUCACAAGUUUGAUUCAAGAUCAAGUGUCCACAACCCUUGAAUUAAAUCUAGCUCCAGAUAAAAGAAGUAAAUUAAGACCUUUGGAAGAAGUCUAGCAGAAUGCACUCCAGCCCAGUUCAAGAACAAGCCUGUGGAAAGUUAACAACAAGUUAAACACCUCUUUCGGCAACUUUUCUUACUAAGAGACUGAAGCAGAAUGAUCAACGAUCAGCCUAAAUGAUUUGAAAUCAGGCGGAGAUACUCAUCAGGGGAAGCAUUCAAAACAGAUCAAGAUUUUAAAGAGUUAAUCGAAGACUUAUGGCCAUCCAAGGGGGAAUGUUGUGAAUAAUAUGUGGAUGACCCACAUGAAUAGUUUGUUACUAUUUAUGCACAGUAUUUUCACUAUUCAUUUGUGGAAAAUUUGUAAAAUGAAUAGUGUUCUCUUUUGUUUAUAAAAUGAAUGAGAGGUGAAGAAGGUUGAGAGACUCACGGAGAGAUAGGAAGGAAGAAAGGAAGAGAGAAAAGAGAGGAAGAGGAGAUGAGAUAAUAGAGAGAGUUAUCUUUGUACUUCUAUUAUUCUAAAUUAUAAUGAAAGCACCAUUGCUGCCUCGUUGACGUACUCCAGUCACACUGACUGUAGAGGAACUUCGUAAAUUUUGUAUCUUGUUUCAUUUAUUCCACUACACCUACCAUCGAUUUUACAACAAUUUGUAAUCUUUUUGCAACAUUGAUUGUUACUAAUGCGAAUGUCGCAAAUAUUUUUCGAUGCAUGGUCUAGCGCUCCUAAUUUGUUUUGCUCGUAGACUGUGUAGUGUUAUUUGACACCUAAAAUUUCGCAAAUGACCUUUUUCUUGUAAUUAAUAACCUUGUUCUCUUCAAGUAAUCCAAUGUGUUUUUUAUCUUAUUUUUGCAAAUGAUAAAAAUUCCUAUGAAAUCCUAUAGGAUCUAGAAGAUCCUUUCUUUUAUAUUUUAUGUCACUUGGAAGGCAAAUAUACUGAUCAUGAUUAGUAUAAUAAAGACACAUGAUAGAAGAAAAUAUAUUGUUUCAUCAAAUACAUAAAUUCGCAACUAUUACUUACAACAAAAGAUGUUUUAUCAAACACAUACAUACGUAGAUGUAAGUGUCCAGACAUUCAUGAUACAUAGUCCAUUAGAAAUCAUUAUAAUGAUUAAAUGAUCAAGAACAUAUACAAACACGAUUUUAAAAAUUAGACAUGAUACACUGACGAGAGCAUUCAAAAUCAUAAGAACGAUUAUUUGCAAGUGUCAGACAUCGAUCUCUCACUUAAAAGUAGUUUCUAAUUGAUUCCCUUGUCGUCGCCGUACAAAGCUGCAUCAACUCCUCCACCACCCCAUCCAUCUCUUCAUCCUCUUUCUUCUUCAUGUUGUCUCUUAAUUCCAAUGCCUUUAUCCUCACACCCUCUCCAAUUUUCUCCACCACCACAUCUAUGAUCACCUUCGCCACCUCUUGCCGUUGCAAAUUACCUCCUCCGCCGGUUCUUAUAACCUCAACACCAACGCCAACCUCCUCCACCAGUCUGGCGUUUACCGGCUGGUCAAGUUGCAUAGGCAUGGCUAUAAUCGGAACACCAAACUUGAUGCUCUCCAACACCGAGCUCCAUCCACAGUGACUCACAAACCCACCAACACUCGAAUGCUUCAAUAUUUUUGCCUGUGGGGCCCAAUCCUCUACUAUCAUUCCCCUCUCUCCUACCCUCUCCCCAAAUCCUUUUGGCAAAACAUCUUCAACCCUGGUACUUUUCUCUUCCUUAGGAAACCUAAUAACCCAAAUGAAACUCACUUGGCUAAGCUCCAAUCCAAGAGCUAUCUCUUGUAUUUCCUCCUUGGACAAAAAGUACUCGCUCCCGAAGGACACAAACACGACUGAAGCUCUUUCCCUUUCGUUUAGCCAUUUGAUGAUCGACGAUUCCUCAUCUACUUUUUGAUCCAUUGGGUCUUGAACAAGUGAUCCAACGGGCACAAUCUUCUUCUCCGUUAACUUGGAGAGAUAAUCAACACACUUUGAUUCAAUCUCUCCAGAAGUCUUUACCAAAAUGAUGUUACGAGACCGAUGACUGCACAGCAGUACGCGUUCUCCGUUCGUGAUGCCAUUUGCUGAAGAUUCUAUCAGAUUGCUGAACUCCUUAAUUUCGUAAUCCCGAAGAUAGAUGGAAGGAUAAGGGAAUUGAACAUUAGGGUUCUUGAGAUGGUGAAACCAAAGUGACAUCAAGGAAGCACUGGUGGUGGUGAACUCGACGGCCGGAAUGUUGUGCGACAAAGCUAGGGACGGUGCCCAUGGCUGGAGAAAAUCAUAUACGAGCAAAUCAGGUUUUAGGGUUUUGAGGAUGUGGGAGAAGUUAUCGCUGGACAUGUCAAAGGCUUUUUUGAGAGUGGGCAUGAGAUGGGGUGGGAGGCCAUUGGUGGUGUGGUAGUGAGGUGGCAACUCAUCGUGUGGAAGAUGAAGUUCCACAAACUCAAUGCAGUGGGAGUAUUUCUUAGGGAGUUUGGGCUUGAUGGAGCUGAGAUUAACAGGUGUGGAGCAAAUGAAGAUGUGAAAAUCUCUGUGGCUGGUGAGCUUCUUGGCUAGCUCGAGGAAGGGCGAAAUAUGGCCGUGACCUAACCAUGGAAGCAU